GGGGAUGACGUCAAGUCAUCAUGGCCCUUAUGGUCCAGGGCGACACACGUGCUACGAAUGGCCGGCACGAACGGGAAGCGGAGUUCGCGAGGACGAAGCGGAUCCCUUAAAGCCGGUCGCAGUUCGGAUUGAAGUCUGCAACUCGACUUCAUGAAGCUGGAAUCGCUAGUAAUCGUGGAUCAGCCAAGCCGCGGUGAAUACGUUCCCGGGCCUU
rnacentral:rRNA from 1 species